rnacentral:rRNA from 1 species
GAUGAACGCUGGCGGCGUGCCUAAUACAUGCAAGUCGAGCGAAUGGAUUAAGAGCUUGCUCUUAUGAAGUUAGCGGCGGACGGGUGAGUAACACGUGGGUAACCUGCCCAUAAGACUGGGAUAACUCCGGGAAACCGGGGCUAAUACCGGAUAACAUUUUGAACCGCAUGGUUCGAAAUUGAAAGGCGGCUUCGGCUGUCACUUAUGGAUGGACCCGCGUCGCAUUAGCUAGUUGGUGAGGUAACGGCUCACCAAGGCAACGAUGCGUAGCCGACCGGAAAGGGUGAUCGGCCACGCUGGGACUGAGACACGGCCCAGACUCCUACGGGAGGGAGCAGUAGGGAAUCUUCCGCAAUGGACGAAAGUCUGACGGAGCAACGCCGCGUGAGUGAUGAAGGCUUUCGGGUCGUAAAACUCUGUUGUUAGGGAAGAACAAGUGCUAGUUGAAUAAGCUGGCACCUUGACGGUACCUAACCAGAAAGCCACGGCUAACUACGUGCCAGCAGCCGCGGUAA